rnacentral:rRNA from 1 species
CUACGGGCUGCUGCAGUGGGGAAUAUUGGACAAUGGGCGCAAGCCUGAUCCAGCAAUGCCGCGUGAGUGAAGACGGCCUUAGGGUUGUAAAACUCUUUCGCUAGGGAAGAUAAUGGCUGUACCUAGUAAAGAAGUCCCGGCUAACUCCGUACCAGCAGCCGCGGUAAUACGGAGGGGACUAGCGUUGUUCGGAAUUACUGGGCGUAAAGAGUUCGUAGGCGGACUGACAAGUUAGAGGUGAAAUCCCAGGGCUCAACCCUGGAACUGCCUUUAAAACUGUCAGUCUAGAGACCGGAAGAGGUUAGGGGAAUACCUAGUGUAGAGGUGAAAUUCGUAGAUAUUAGGUGGAACACCAGUGGCGAAGGCGCCUAACUGGUCCGGUACUGACGCUGAGGAACGAAAGCGUGGGGAGCAAACAGGAUUAGAUACCCCUGUAGUC